CGGGUCGUUAGCUCAGUUGGUAGAGCAGUUGACUUUUAAUCAAUUGGUCGCAGGUUCGAAUCCUGCACGACCNNN
rnacentral:tRNA from 1 species